rnacentral:rRNA from 1 species
UAACACGUAGGGAACCNGCCUGCAUGAGCGGGAGAACUUCUGGAAACGGAAGCUGAUACCGGAUGAGCAAAGAGGAGGCAUCUUCUUUUUGGAAAAGGGGACAAGAGUCCCGCAUGCAGAUGGACCUGCGGUGCAUUAGCUGGUUGGAGAGGUAACGGCUCACCAAGGCGACGAUGCAUAGCCGGCCUGAGAGGGCGGACGGCCACACUGGGACUGAGACACGGCCCAGACUCCUGCGGGAGGCAGCAGUAGGGAAUUUUCGUCAAUGGGGGGAACCCUGAACGAGCAAUGCCGCGUGAGCGAGGAAGGUCUUCGGAUCGUAAAGCUCUGUUGCCGGGGACAAAAGGCAGAAAGAGUGGAAAGCUUUCUGAGUGAUGGUACCCGGCGAGGAAGUCACGGCUAACUACGUGCCAGCAGCCGCGGUAAUACGUAGGUGGCGAGCGUUAUCCGGAAUGAUUGGGCGUAAAGGGUGCGCAGGCGGCCGGGCAAGUCCGCAGUAAAAACUGGAGGCUCAACCUUCAGGGGCUGCGGAAACUGUCCGGCUGGAGAGCAGGAGAGGACGGUGGAACUCCAUGUGUAGCGGUAAAAUGCGUAGAUAUAUGGAAGAACACCGGUGGCGAAGGCGGCCGUCUGGCCUGCAUCUGACGCUGAGGCACGAAAGCGUGGGGAGCAAAUAGGAUUAGAUACCCUAGU